GGGCCCUUAGCUCAGUCUGGUUAGAGCGCGCGGCUCAUAACCGCGUCGUCAGUGGUUCAAAUCCGCUAGGGCCCA
rfam:Halodesulfurarchaeum formicicum strain HSR6 chromosome, complete genome.